UACAGAGGUCCCGAGCGUUGUUCGGAAUCAUUGGGCGUAAAGAGCGUGUAGGCGGCCCGGUAAGUCCGCUGUAAAAGUCAAAGGCUCAACCCUUUGAAUGUCAGUGGAUACUGCCCGGGCUAGAGUCCGGAAGAGGCGAGUGGAACUCCUGGUGUAGCGGUGGAAUGCGCAGAUAUCAGGAAGAACACCACGGCGAAGGCAGCUCGCUAGGACGGUACUGACGCUGGAGGCGCGAAAGCGUGGGGAGCGAACAGGG
rnacentral:rRNA from 1 species